rnacentral:rRNA from 1 species
AUACGUAGGGGGCGAGCGUUGUCCGGAAUGAUUGGGCGUAAAGGGCGCGUAGGCGGCCCGGUAAGUCUGGAGUGAAAGUCCUGUUUUUAAGAUGGGAAUUGCUUUGGAUACUGUCGGGCUUGAGUGCAGGAGAGGUAAGUGGAAUUCCCAGUGUAGCGGUGAAAUGCGUAGAGAUUGGGAGGAACACCAGUGGCGAAGGCGACUUACUGGACUGUAACUGACGCUGAGGCGCGAAAUUGUGGGGAGCAAACAGGAUUAGAUCCCCUGGUAGUCCCCACUGUAAACGAUGAAUGCUAGGUGUAGGGGGUAUCGACCCCUUCUGUGCCGCAGGCAACACAAUAAGCAUUCCGCCUGGGGAGUACGGCAGCAAGGUUGAAACUCAAAUGAAUUGACGGGG